GGGUACAGCUCAGCGGUAGAGCACAUGCUUAGCAUGCACAAGGUCCUGGGUUCAAUCCCCAGUACCUCCA
rnacentral:tRNA from 1 species